rnacentral:tRNA from 1 species
ACCUGGGUGGCUCAGAAGGUUGAGCGUCUGACUUCAGUUCAGGUCAUGAUCUCAUGGUUUGUGGGUUCGAGCCCUGCAUCGGGCU